UACAGGGGGGGCUAGCGUUAUUCAACAUUACUGGGCGUAAAGGAUACGUAGACGACUUAUGUCGGUCUUUUUUGAAAGUCUAGUUAUGCUAGAAGGGAAAUUGAUACCGGUAGGUUAGGGUUUACCAGAGGGUAGUGGUAUUCCUAGUGUAGGGGUGCAAUCCGACGAUACUAGGAGGAAUGCCGACUGUGAAGACGGCUAUCUAGGGUAGACUGACGUUGAGGUAUGAAGGUAUGGGUAGCGAUCGGG
rnacentral:rRNA from 1 species